rnacentral:misc_RNA from 1 species
AACACUGUUAACCUGCGGUACCUGCGGAGGGAUCAUUACCGAGUUUACAACUCCCAAACCCAAUGUGAACCAUACCAAACUGUUGCCUCGGCGGGGUCACGCCCCGGGUGCGUCGCAGCCCCGGAACCAGGCGCCCGCCGGAGGGACCAACCAAACUCUUUACUGUAGUCCCCUCGCGGACGUUAUUUCUUACAGCUCUGAGCAAAAAUUCAAAAUGAAUCAAAACUUUCAACAAUGGAU